GCCCAGGUGGUUCAGUGGUAGAACGCGUCCUUGGUAAGGACGAAGUCGCGGGUUCGAUUCCCGCUCUGGGCUCAA
rnacentral:tRNA from 6 species